AAGCUACCUGAUGAUACAGUACAUUUAAGAUUCCGAGCUAUUUAACUUGUGACAAUGAUGGCCAUAUUGAAGGGUUAGUUCACCUAAAAAUAAAGAUUCUGUCAUCAUUUACUCUCCUUGUAGUUCCAAACCUGCAUGACUUUCUUUAUGGAAGUCUGUUUCUGCCACAGAAAAAAACAAACAAACAAACAAACAAAAAAGGUAAUUGCAGGUAAUUUUCUCACAGUUCAGCAUGUUUCUGAAUUCAUCAAGUUUAUAGCUUACAAUUAUAACUUUCCCCCCCUCACAAUUGUGAGGAGAGAGAAAAAAUCACUAAGGUUGGAGAUAAAAAAAAAAAGAAGCUCAGUUACCUUUUUAUGUAUUUGUGUGUAUGUGCUGGCAACAACAACAACAAAACUGUAGACUCAGAAUUCUGAUUAAAAAAGUCAGAAUUGCAAGACGUAAAAAUCAGAAUUUAUCAGAGAUAAUAGACAAGAUAAUAGUUUAUAUCCUGGCUGUAAUUCUUUUUUCCCUUUUUUUUUUUUUUUGUCCGAAAUUGUGAGAUAAAAAGUCAGUUACCUUUUUAAUUUGUUAUUUCAUGGCAGAAAUGGCCUUGCUUAUUAUUAUUAUUAUUAUUAUUUUACGGAUUUGGAAUUACAUGGGUGAAUAAAUAAUGACAGAAUUUAUUUAGUUCCCUCUUUGCAUUUCAUUUCCGUGUUGCCACUGAAGCUUACAAGAUGCUUUUUGGGUCAAUCAAAUUUUACACAAAUUUCUGAAGUACAUGUAGCUCAAAGAAGGAAAACAGAAAAACAUGUCUGGGACUUUUGGGGUCCAACUGUAUGUACUGGUGCUUUUCAAAUAUUUGCCAACAGUGUGGGUGUGUAACUGAUAGCAGCAGCAGCAGCACCAUGAAUGGAAAGUGUUAAAUCCUGCUCAGAGCACUUUCUCCCGACCAUACUCAAUUUAAGCACGGUACUUGACCUCUGAAGCUCUGGAGGUGUCCUAUGACUACUCAUGUGGUCUGAUCCCUCCGUGUCAGAUCCCUCCGGAAGCAGAGAACAAGACUAAAUGCUCUGUGUAUUCCCAAUCAUGCCCCACAUUCUUUGGGAAUAAUGAAAGAAUCAUAAACUCAGAUCUGAAUCAAAAACAGCAAGGAUUUUGUUCUUGACUCUUUUAUUUCUUUCUUUUUUUGUGACAGUAGUCAUAUUGACGUGCCCUGAACAUAGUGUUGAAGUGUCUCUCCUUUUAGUUGGCAGAAAAACAGCUAAAAACAGAAAGAAAUAAACAACUUUCAAAUUGCAUCAAAAUGAUUUUCCUCCCCAGAAUAUGCUGUUAUUUUUUUGUUUGUUUUAAAAAAUAGAGCAUAAAGGAAUAUAUUACUUUAAAAAAGAUUUAUCUGUACUUGUGUGUUUUACUACAAAACAUUUCUUCUUCUUUUUUUGUAUUCCUGCAGUUGUCUUUUUAUCAAACGCUGUGGCAUGCACAUUGCACAUGCAGUUCACGAGGUAAAUGCUUCUCUACAUUUUUUUUUUUCUGACAAAAACUUGCUUAUUUUUAGUUUCUUCUUUUUACAGUGUGACUCCCACAUCGGCAUUGUAUUUUUAAUUGUCACUUUGUUUUGCCAAACAUGAACUGAGGUUGUUAGUAAUGAUUAAUUAUGACAGACAAUGAGAGAUGUCAAUGUCCUAUCCAGACUAACGCUGGUCUUUUCUCUCGCAGCCACACGCACAGCAAGAAGUUGAGAGAACAUCAUGCAUGCAAAUGAGGAUGACUGAAAGUCAUUCGCUUGGUGAAUUUGGUCUAACACAUCAUCAUGGACCUGAUCACAAACAUAUACACACACCGGUCACAGAGACACAUCAUUUCCUUGACGCUUCUUGCAACUCAAAACAGGAUUUCCAAGGGAUUUAUUUUCUGGGAGUUCAAACAAAGCUGGGCAGUGCAACAGAAGAUUCAAACUCCAAUGUUUCCAAUGAGAAGCAGAAGACGAAGCCGUAGAAGAAGAAAGAGGGUCUGAAGUGCAGGGUGGGCUUUCCUGUUUUAGUUCAGGUGAGUUCACCUCCGCCCAUCUCCAACUCCACCCACAACUUACCCGCACGGGUGAACGCCUCCCCCUCACUGGGAUAAUUAUUAACAGUAAAC